GAUUAAGUUAUUAAGGGCGCACGGUGGAUGCCUUGGCACUAGAAGCCGAUGAAGGACGUUACUAACGACGAUAUGCUUUGGGGAGCUGUAAGUAAGCUUUGAUCCAGAGAUUUCCGAAUGGGGAAACCCAGCAUGAGUUAUGUCAUGUUAUCGAUAUGUGAAUACAUAGCAUAUCAGAAGGCACACCCGGAGAACUGAAACAUCUUAGUACCCGGAGGAAGAGAAAGAAAAUUCGAUUCCCUUAGUAGCGGCGAGCGAAACGGGAAGAGCCCAAACCAACAAGCUUGCUUGUUGGGGUUGUAGGACACUCUAUACGGAGUUACAAAGGACGACAUUAGACGAAUCAUCUGGAAAGAUGAAUCAAAGAAGGUAAUAAUCCUGUAGUCGAAAAUGUUGUCUCUCUUGAGUGGAUCCUGAGUACGACGGAGCACGUGAAAUUCCGUCGGAAUCUGGGAGGACCAUCUCCUAAGGCUAAAUACUCUCUAGUGACCGAUAGUGAACCAGUACCGUGAGGGAAAGGUGAAAAGCACCCCGGAAGGGGAGUGAAAUAGAACCUGAAACCGUGUGCUUACAAGUAGUCAGAGCCCGUUAAUGGGUGAUGGCGUGCCUUUUGUAGAAUGAACCGGCGAGUUACGAUUUGAUGCAAGGUUAAGCAGUAAAUGUGGAGCCGUAGCGAAAGCGAGUCUGAAUAGGGCGUUUAGUAUUUGGUCGUAGACCCGAAACCAGGUGAUCUACCCUUGGUCAGGUUGAAGUUCAGGUAACACUGAAUGGAGGACCGAACCGACUUACGUUGAAAAGUGAGCGGAUGAACUGAGGGUAGCGGAGAAAUUCCAAUCGAACCUGGAGAUAGCUGGUUCUCUCCGAAAUAGCUUUAGGGCUAGCCUCAAGUGAUGAUUAUUGGAGGUAGAGCACUGUUUGGACGAGGGGCCCCUCUCGGGUUACCGAAUUCAGACAAACUCCGAAUGCCAAUUAAUUUAACUUGGGAGUCAGAACAUGGGUGAUAAGGUCCGUGUUCGAAAGGGAAACAGCCCAGACCACCAGCUAAGGUCCCAAAAUAUAUGUUAAGUGGAAAAGGAUGUGGCGUUGCCCAGACAACUAGGAUGUUGGCUUAGAAGCAGCCAUCAUUUAAAGAGUGCGUAAUAGCUCACUAGUCGAGUGACACUGCGCCGAAAAUGUACCGGGGCUAAACAUAUUACCGAAGCUGUGGAUUGUCCUUUGGACAAUGGUAGGAGAGCGUUCUAAGGGCGUUGAAGCAUGAUCGUAAGGACAUGUGGAGCGCUUAGAAGUGAGAAUGCCGGUGUGAGUAGCGAAAGACGGGUGAGAAUCCCGUCCACCGAUUGACUAAGGUUUCCAGAGGAAGGCUCGUCCGCUCUGGGUUAGUCGGGUCCUAAGCUGAGGCCGACAGGCGUAGGCGAUGGAUAACAGGUUGAUAUUCCUGUACCACCUAUAAUCGUUUUAAUCGAUGGGGGGACGCAGUAGGAUAGGCGAAGCGUGUGAUUGGAUUGCACGUCUAAGCAGUAAGGCUGAGUAUUAGGCAAAUCCGGUACUCGUUAAGGCUGAGCUGUGAUGGGGAGAAGACAUUGUGUCUUCGAGUCGUUGAUUUCACACUGCCGAGAAAAGCCUCUAGAUAGAAAAUAGGUGCCCGUACCGCAAACCGACACAGGUAGUCAAGAUGAGAAUUCUAAGGUGAGCGAGCGAACUCUCGUUAAGGAACUCGGCAAAAUGACCCCGUAACUUCGGGAGAAGGGGUGCUCUUUAGGGUUAACGCCCAGAAGAGCCGCAGUGAAUAGGCCCAAGCGACUGUUUAUCAAAAACACAGGUCUCUGCUAAACCGUAAGGUGAUGUAUAGGGGCUGACGCCUGCCCGGUGCUGGAAGGUUAAGAGGAGUGGUUAGCUUCUGCGAAGCUACGAAUCGAAGCCCCAGUAAACGGCGGCCGUAACUAUAACGGUCCUAAGGUAGCGAAAUUCCUUGUCGGGUAAGUUCCGACCCGCACGAAAGGCGUAACGAUUUGGGCACUGUCUCAACGAGAGACUCGGUGAAAUCAUAGUACCUGUGAAGAUGCAGGUUACCCGCGACAGGACGGAAAGACCCCGUGGAGCUUUACUGUAGCCUGAUAUUGAAAUUCGGCACAGCUUGUACAGGAUAGGUAGGAGCCUUUGAAACGUGAGCGCUAGCUUACGUGGAGGCGCUGGUGGGAUACUACCCUAGCUGUGUUGGCUUUCUAACCCGCACCACUUAUCGUGGUGGGAGACAGUGUCAGGCGGGCAGUUUGACUGGGGCGGUCGCCUCCUAAAAGGUAACGGAGGCGCUCAAAGGUUCCCUCAGAAUGGUUGGAAAUCAUUCAUAGAGUGUAAAGGCAUAAGGGAGCUUGACUGCGAGACCUACAAGUCGAGCAGGGUCGAAAGACGGACUUAGUGAUCCGGUGGUUCCGCAUGGAAGGGCCAUCGCUCAACGGAUAAAAGCUACCCCGGGGAUAACAGGCUUAUCUCCCCCAAGAGUUCACAUCGACGGGGAGGUUUGGCACCUCGAUGUCGGCUCAUCGCAUCCUGGGGCUGUAGUCGGUCCCAAGGGUUGGGCUGUUCGCCCAUUAAAGCGGUACGCGAGCUGGGUUCAGAACGUCGUGAGACAGUUCGGUCCCUAUCCGUCGUGGGCGUAGGAAAUUUGAGAGGAGCUGUCCUUAGUACGAGAGGACCGGGAUGGACAUACCUCUGGUGUACCAGUUGUCGUGCCAACGGCAUAGCUGGGUAGCUAUGUGUGGACGGGAUAAGUGCUGAAAGCAUCUAAGCAUGAAGCCCCCCUCAAGAUGAGAUUUCCCAACUUCGGUUAUAAGAUCCCUCAAAGAUGAUGAGGUUAAUAGGUUCGAGGUGGAAGCAUGGUGACAUGUGGAGCUGACGAAUACUAAUCGAUCGAAGACUUAAUCAA
rnacentral:rRNA from 1 species